rnacentral:rRNA from 1 species
GACGAACGCUGGCGGCGUGCUUAACACAUGCAAGUCGAGCGGUAAGGCCCUUUCGGGGGUACACGAGCGGCGAACGGGUGAGUAACACGUGGGUGACCUGCCCUCAGCUCUGGGAUAAGCCCGGGAAACUGGGUCUAAUACUGGAUAUGACUCCAUGACGCAUGUUGUGGGGUGGAAAGCCUUGUGCGGCUGGGGAUGGGCCCGCGGCCUAUCAGCUUGUUGGUGGGGUGAUGGCCUACCAAGGCGACGACGGGUAGCCGGCCUGAGAGGGCGACCGGCCACACUGGGACUGAGACACGGCCCAGACUCCUACGGGAGGCAGCAGUGGGGAAUCUUGCGCAAUGGGCGAAAGCCUGACGCAGCGACGCCGCGUGAGGGAUGACGG